UACGUAGGUGGCAAGCGUUGUCCGGAUUUAUUGGGUUUAAAGGGUGCGUAGGCGGUCUUUUAAGUCAGUGCUGAAAUACUCCAGCUUAACUGGAGGGGUGGCAUUGAUACUGGAAGACUUGAGUGCAGUCGAAGUAGGCGGAAUUCCUGGUGUAGUGGUGAAAUGCGCAGAUAUCAGGAAGAACACCCGUGGCUAAGGCGGCUCUCUAGUACGGUACUGACGCUGAGAUGCGAAAGCGUGGGGAGCGAACGGG
rnacentral:rRNA from 1 species